GGCCUAACACAUGCAAGUCGAGCGGAAACGACUUAACUGAACCUUCGGGGAACGUUAAGGGCGUCGAGCGGCGGACGGGUGAGUAAUGCCUAGGAAAUUGCCCUGAUGUGGGGGAUAACCAUUGGAAACGAUGGCUAAUACCGCAUGAUGCCUACGGGCCAAAGAGGGGGACCUUCGGGCCUCUCGCGUCAGGAUAUGCCUAGGUGGGAUUAGCUAGUUGGUGAGGUAAUGGCUCACCAAGGCGACGAUCCCUAGCUGGUCUGAGAGGAUGAUCAGCCACACUGGAACUGAGACACGGUCCAGACUCCUACGGGAGGCAGCAGUGGGGAAUAUUGCACAAUGGGCGCAAGCCUGAUGCAGCCAUGCCGCGUGUGUGAAGAAGGCCUUCGGGUUGUAAAGCACUUUCAGUCGUGAGGAAGGUGGUGUAGUUAAUAGCUGCAUUAUUUGACGUUAGCGACAGAAGAAGCACCGGCUAACUCCGUGCCAGCAGCCGCGGUAAUACGGAGGGUGCGAGCGUUAAUCGGAAUUACUGGGCGUAAAGCGCAUGCAGGUGGUUUGUUAAGUCAGAUGUGAAAGCCCGGGGCUCAACCUCGGAAUAGCAUUUGAAACUGGCAGACUAGAGUACUGUAGAGGGGGGUAGAAUUUCAGGUGUAGCGGUGAAAUGCGUAGAGAUCUGAAGGAAUACCGGUGGCGAAGGCGGCCCCCUGGACAGAUACUGACACUCAGAUGCGAAAGCGUGGGGGAGCAAACAGGAUUAGAUACCCUGGUAGUCCACGCCGUAAACGAUGUCUACUUGGAGGUUGUGGCCUUGAGCCGUGGCUUUCGGAGCUAACGCGUUAAGUAGACCGCCUGGGGAGUACGGUCGCAAGAUUAAAACUCAAAUGAAUUGACGGGGGCCCGCACAAGCGGUGGAGCAUGUGGUUUAAUUCGAUGCAACGCGAA
rnacentral:rRNA from 1 species